UAGUUCAAGUGACCGGAAGUGACUUCACGGCGAACCGGAAGUGGUUUUAUAUCGGCCGUCAACUCCUUAGAAAGUCAAAUUACUUUUAAAGAUAAUUCUUCUUUACGAUCUUUGGAAACGGACCAACGCGAGAUUUUCGUGUAAUUUUCCCCUGGGGGUUUUGGAGCAGCGCCACCACAGGCGCGGAGCGGGAAGACAGCUGAACUGCGCCAGGCUCGGUGAGAGCUGAAAGGCCUGCUGAGAACAAUGGCUGACAUGAGGAGAAACAUGCAGGAUCACCACCUGAACUUCUGCAGGAAGGGAGGAAGGAGGAUAUCAAUAAUAUGCUUGUUAUUGGAAGGCAGGAAGUGAGGAAAGGGGAAAAGGAUGAAAAGAAAUUUGGCGAACCAAUCCUCGGAGAUCCGGCUCAGAGAACAGAAGCUGUUUGCUAUUCCAGCAGGGGAU